rnacentral:rRNA from 1 species
UACGUAGGUGGCAAGCGUUGUCCGGAAUUAUUGGGCGUAAAGCGCGCGCAGGCGGUCCUUUAAGUCUGAUGUGAAAGCCCACGGCUCAACCGUGGAGGGUCAUUGGAAACUGGGGGACUUGAGUGCAGAAGAGGAAAGCGGAAUUCCACGUGUAGCGGUGAAAUGCGUAGAGAUGUGGAGGAACACCAGUGGCGAAGGCGGCUCGCUGGGACGUGACUGACGCUGAGACGCGAAAGCGUGGGGAGCAAACAGG